UACGGAGGGCGCAAGCGUUGUUCGGAAUCACUGGGCGUAAAGCGCGUGUAGGCGGCCGGGCAAGUCGGAUGUGAAAUCCCGAGGCUCAACCUCGGAACUGCAUUCGAAACUGCUCGGCUCGAGUCCCGGAGAGGAUGGCGGAAUUCCCGGUGUAGGGGUGAAAUCCGUAGAUAUCGGGAGGAACACCAGCGGCGAAGGCGGGCAUCUGGACGGUGGCUGACGCUGAGACGCGAAAGCGUGGGGAGCAAACAGG
rnacentral:rRNA from 1 species